UCCUACGGGUGGCAGCAGUGGGGAAUAUUGCACAAUGGGCGAAAGCCUGAUGCAGCGACGCCGCGUGUGGGAUGACGGCCUUCGGGUUGUAAACCACUUUCAGCAGGGAAGAAGCUUUUUGUGACGGUACCUGCAGAAGAAGCGCCGGCUAACUACGUGCCAGCAGCCGCGGUAAUACGUAGGGCGCGAGCGUUAUCCGGAAUUAUUGGGCGUAAAGAGCUCGUAGGCGGUUUGUCGCGUCUGCUGUGAAAGCCCGGGGCUUAACCCCGGGUGUGCAGUGGGUACGGGCAGACUAGAGUGCAGUAGGGGAGACUGGAAUUCCUGGUGUAGCGGUGAAAUGCGCAGAUAUCAGGAGGAACACCGAUGGCGAAGGCAGGUCUCUGGGCUGUUACUGACGCUGAGGAGCGAAAGCAUGGGGAGCGAACAGGAUUAGAUACCCUAGUAGUC
rnacentral:rRNA from 1 species